GAAUGGGAUUGCAAGAUGUGCCAACUCAUGCCACCAUAUUUAAGAGUAUGGGUUUCUUG
rnacentral:tRNA from 1 species